rnacentral:rRNA from 2 species
UGGCUCAGAACGAACGCUGGCGGCAGGCCUAACACAUGCAAGUCGAGCGCCGUAGCAAUACGGAGCGGCAGACGGGAGAGUAACACGUGGGAACGUGCCCUUUGGUUCGGAACAACCCAGGGAAACUUGGGCUAAUACCGGAUAAGCCCUUACGGGGAAAGAUUUAUCGCCGAAGGAUCGGCCCGCGUCUGAUUAGCUAGUUGGUGGGGUAAUGGCCCACCAAGGCGAGGAUAAGUAGCUGGUCUGAGAGGAUGAUCAGCCUCACUGGGACUUUUUCACGGCCCANAGAACUACGGGAGGCAUC